GGUGGGCUGGCCUGGCCCCUUCUCUGCCCCGGUCGGUCGCGACCAUGGUAUUCCUGGCGGGCCUUGGGCCAGAAUCGGGCGAGUCACAAGCAAUUGGCUCUGGUUCCCAUUCUGCUAUCCGGAUCUGACGUACUAUAGCUACGGCUGUCCUGAGGACCCCCUGGAGGUGGGGUCUGCUCACCCCGGGCCCUAUCCCAGGAUCCAGGAAAGAGAGAUUGAGCCAGAGCUGGGCGAAGGGCUCCCACAGAGUCUUAACCACACCAGCAUCCUAUUCUCCGAGCAGCCGUACCACUUCCCUGGGGGUGAAUUGCCCCAUGGAGAGUCUCCAGCACCCUCAUCCUCCGGUGGCCAGGUGUCGGAGCUGAAAAGCCUGGGGAAGGCCAGGAAAGAGGAUGUAUGACCUCUUGGUUUUUCACUUCUCACCUCCAUCUGCUCUUCAGCUCCCAGCUGCCUGGGAUGAGGCCCAGGGAAGUGACUUGCCCAAAGUCACAUCGCUGACAAGUGGCAGAAGCGGAAUGAGAACCCAAGACCCGUGACUCCCAAGCCCAGGCUCUUUCCACCAAGCCACGCUGCCUCUCCGUUGGAAUGAACAGUCUCUCUUGGUUGCUGCACUGUAGUUUCCAAACGCUCGGUAGAGCGCUCUGCACACAGUAAGCGCUCCAUAAAUACGUUGGAAUGAAUGGUCUCUCUUUGAUGCGGCAUUGUAGUUUCCAAGCGCUCGGUACAGUGCUCUGCACAGAGUAAGCGCACAAUAAAUACUUUUGAAUGAAUGAAUGGCCUCUGUUGCCGCACUGUAGUUUCCAAACGCUCGGUAGAGCGCUCUGCACACAGUACGCGCUCCAUAAAUACGACUGAAUGAAUGAACGGCCUC